rnacentral:tRNA from 22 species
GCCUCCUUAGCUCAGCGGUAGAGCACUCGCCUUGUAAGCGAGCGGUCAACGGUUCAAUCCCGUUAGGGGGCUCCA